CAACCCUCAGGCCCCCAGUGCCUGGCGUUGGGGAUCGGCACCCUCCCCCCGGGGGAGAGCCGGCCCCGAAAUCUAGUGGCGGUCUCGCUGUAGUCCUCCUCUGCGUAGUAGCACAACCUCGCAGCUGGAACGCGGCGGUGGCCAUGCCGUUAAACACCCCACUUCUGAA
rnacentral:misc_RNA from 2 species